rnacentral:rRNA from 1 species
CCCUUAUGGGUAGGGCUUCACACGUAAUACAAUGGUCGGUACAGAGGGUUGCCAACCCGCGAGGGGGAGCCAAUCCCAGAAACCGAUCGUAGUCCGGAUUGUAGUCUGCAACUCGACUGCAUGAAGUCGGAAUCGCUAGUAAUCGCGGAUCAGCAUGUCGCGGUGAAUUACCGGUUCCCGGGCCUU